UUCUCUCUCGACUUCACUAUCUCAAAAUUCUAUUUUUAGUUUUAUUUCACUUAUAAUAAUAAUAAUAAGACCCUGCCCCGUUUUAAGUGUUUUAACCCUUGAUUAGCGAUACCCUGUCCGACUGACGUAGGGCCCCGUAACGUAUGUCAAGGCUCUGCCUAAAUUCGUUGGGGUUCUGUCUCGUGACGUAGGGAUAAAGUAAAAUCGGGUUACUAUACUUAAAGUGAGUGCACUAUAUAUUUUAUUAAAUAAUCCAGAAAUUAUACCAAGAUAUAUCAACUCUCCAAAAAUAUUUCUGACAUCCCUAAUAUAUUUAGAAUACCCCUAUAUGUCUUAAAUUACACCCCGUAUACGAAAACCGGUCCCGAAUACCCUUAUCUUUGUAAAAAUAAAAUAAAAACAAAUCUGCAAGCCGCUCGCGGGCCGCGUAAGGCCACACCAUUAGUUGACGCGGGCCGCGACAAGGCAGGCCACCCGCCCUCCUCCGGAAGCCACCACGUGGCGACACGUGGCGAAGCUAGGGUAGUGACACCUCAAGGCUACGCUGUUGACCGGGUUGACGCGGGCCGCGUAAACCCUGGUCUUGUAUUACGCGGGCCGUGAGAAACUGAAGAUCAGGCCCUAUAAAUAGCAACCAUCGGCAGUUCAUUCAAAUCGUUCAGAAUUCUUAUAUCUCUCUCAAUUUCUGUGGUGUAGGCCCUAUACCCGGGCAUUAUACCCCCCUAAUUAGCGAAAUUCUGCCUCGUUGUAAGUAUCAUAACCCCUGGAUACGUAUUAGAUACGCUGCCCGAUCGAUCUAGGGUUCCGUAACGGAUGUCGUGGUUCUGCCCGACGUAGUCAUUGGAAUGCCGUCUCGGGGAGGGUAUUACUAAUGUUAAAAUGGGUUAUUAUACUAACACGUGUGCAUUGUUUAUUCAACUAGAUUAUAACCAGGAAGCCACAAAGGAAAUACCUAAAAUAGCAAUUGAUUGAGUCUUUGUAAUUCUACAAUGACUGCCGGUAUGUUGGGGUUUUGUAUACAAAAUUGUAGUAACGUUACCAUUGGACGACGAGUUAGCCAAUGUGUAAUAUGACCCUCAGUUAGACGUGACACUACUGAAUGAGUAAUUGGGUAGAUGUAAACAUUGUAAUCGCCCUCAAUACUGUUUAAAUUAAAUUAAAUUAAUAAUUUUUGAUUAAACUGGGAUUCACUCACCAGUAUUUCCUGCUGAUAAAAUGUUUUAAACACGUGUUUCAGGUAACUUAGUGUGAAGCCCAUAAAAGCCAGCUGGAGAGCACUGAAGGCUUAGAAAAGUGGCAAUAAAAGUUACCUAAAUAAAAAGGAGAAUUAUUUUCAAUAAUUGGGGUUAUUCCCUAUCGAUGUACCAAAAUGAAAAUCGGGUAUUGUCCCACUUAUAAACGUAUUAUCAAAGAAACUUGGGUUUAUCCCAUUUCUUUA
rnacentral:lncRNA from 1 species